rnacentral:rRNA from 1 species
GAUGAACGCUGGCGGCGUGCCUAAUACAUGCAAGUCGAGCGAACUGAUUAGAAGCUUGCUUCUAUGACGUUAGCGGCGGACGGGUGAGUAACACGUGGGCAACCUGCCUGUAAGACUAGGAUAACUUCGGGAAACCGAAGCUAAUACCGGAUGGGAUCUUCUCCUUCAUGGGAGAGGAUUGAAAGAUGGUUUCGGCUAUCACUUACAGAUGGGCCCGAGGUGCAUUAGCUAGUUGGUGAGGUAACGGCUCACAAAGGCAACGAUGCAUAGCCGACCUGAGAGGGUGAUCGGCCACACUGGGACUGAGACACGGCCCAGACUCCUACGGGAGGCAGCAGUAGGGAAUCUUCCGCAAUGGACGAAAGUCUGACGGAGCAACGCCGCGUGAGUGAUGAAGGCUUUCGGGUCGUAAAACUCUGUUGUUAGGGAAGAACAAGUACAAGAGUAACUGCUUGUACCUUGACGGUACCUAACCAGAAAGCCACGGCUAACUACGUGCCAGCAGCCGCCGUAAAAC